UUCCACCCUCACACGCACACUCUCGGGCGAGAGAGAGGCGCCGAGCGAUGGCGUCGGAGCUCGCGGCCGGGGAGCGGAGAGCCUGCGGCGGCGGCGGCAUGCGGGGGCAUCUGUUAAACGUGCAUGGGAAAGAGGCCUGCGAGACAGCCCCAACGUCCGAACUGCAGAAGCGUUCACGUCUCUUUGACUGCCGACAGCGCACGCUGGGCCAACGCAAACCCCACAAAACUGGGCGCGGAAUGUUUAUCUUUCCACGAUUGCGUAAAAAGCUGUUGUUUUUGGCCGUGCGUGAAAUAUCAGAUGUCAAGGAUUUCGUUUUCUUCAGCGCAACUGGCAUUUCCGAUCGUCGCCCGAGUCAUUAAAAAAAAAAAUUGGUUCAACUCUU